rnacentral:rRNA from 1 species
AGCAGUCGCCGCGGUAAUACGUAGGGUGCAAGAGUUAAUCGGAAUUACUGGGCGUAAAGCGUGCGCAGGCGGUUAUAUAAGACAGAUGUGAAAUCCCCGGGCUCAACCUGGGAACUGCAUUUGUGACUGUAUAGCUAGAGUACGGCAGAGGGGGAUGGAAUUCCGCGUGUAGCAGUGAAAUGCGUAGAUAUGCGGAGGAACACCGAUGGCGAAGGCAAUCCCCUGGGCCUGUACUGACGCUCAUGCACGAAAGCGUGGGGAGCAAACAGGAUUAGAUACCCCCGUAGUUCCUGUCUCUUAUAC